rnacentral:rRNA from 1 species
UACGGGGGGGGGCGAGCGUUGUUCGGAAUUAUUGGGCGUAAAGGGCGCGUAGGCGGUGUGGUAAGUCUGAUGUGAAAACUCCAGGCUCAACUUGGAGAUUGCAUCAGAAACUGCCGUGCUAGAGUGUGGGAGAGGAGAGUGGAAUUCCUGGUGUAGCGGUGAAAUGCGUAGAUAUCUGGAGGAACACCGGUGGCGAAGGCGGCAUCCUGGACCGGCAUUGACGCUGAGGAGCGAAAGCCAGGGGAGCAAACGGG